rnacentral:lncRNA from 1 species
UCCUCAAUUCCUCGUGCAGUACAUGUUGUCUUACUCGAAAAUUUGCUAGUACAAGUUGAUAUAUGUACAAACAAUUGCAACCUUGCAAACACAAUGGCAGUAGUACUGCGUGCAUAUAUGGCUAGGGUUUCUUAGAAUUCAGAUGCUUUGCGCAGACAUGGACGUAUAUGCUUAUCGUUGAUGUAGCAGCAGAGUCCCACUUGUGCAACCAGCAUGCUAAAAUCUAAGAACUAGUUGGCAUGUUGUGAGCUUAUAAUUAACCCUGAUGUGAACGAGACUCUACCUUUUUCAUUGCAAACAAGAGUACUUGAUCAAUAUAUAUAUGCAUGCACAUAUUAGAAGAGCCUCGACUGUUUAUAAAGGAGCUUUAUUCGUUCGCGCAUGACUUUCACUUGGUUGUACUUGUACUUGUCCUCUCUGCGAGAGAUAUAGAAGAUGUCAGUUCACAUUUCACAUUAUUGAGUCUGCGCCCAUAUACCAUUUGGUGCUUUAUGCAAAGUUUUGUUCUGUGUGGGAUACCGCCGUGCCUUUUAGUUCGUAGUGUAGUCGAAAGUCAUGCGAUUUAAGUCAUUCAUUAUCUGGGAUGCAUCGUAAACAAUGACUAAUUUAGCAACUUCCCUUCUUGUUCAUUAUGACUACGUGAUCAUCUAUUUGGUUUUUCUUUAGCAUAGUCAAUCUGAUAUUUAUAUACUAUCACAAGGAAAAUUAAGUCACCAGAAGGUAAAACCUUUCUCGAUCUACAGCUGAUAGUCAAUCUGGUAAUUCAGUCAGUUUAACCUACUACGUACUGGUGAAGCGUCAUUUUCAGAUUAUGUAGAUAUUUUCAGCAUUAGCGUUAAAUAUAGCAAUAAACUAAACUCAUCCAAACAUCCCACUUGAAGAAAGAACCUAAACUCAUCCCCAAACCUAAUAAACUAGAAAGAGUCAAGUACCUCCAUAGUUUUCAAUUCCUUAAGGGAAAGCCAGGCCUAUUAAACUAAUUAAAAGAGGUAAGUACCUUUCAUAGUUUUCAAUUCCUGAAGUGAAAGAUCAGAAAGGGACAGC